rnacentral:rRNA from 1 species
CGGGGUGCACCAGGCGCGAAAACUUUACAAUGCGGGAAACCGUGAUAAGGGGACACCGAGUGCCAGCAUCAUAUGCUGGCUGUCCGGGUGUGUAAAAUACACCCGUUAGCAAGGGCCGGGCAAGACCGGUGCCAGCCGCCGCGGUAACACCGGCGGCCCGAGUGGUGAUCGUGAUUAUUGGGUCUAAAGGGUCCGUAGCCGGUUUGGUCAGUCCUCCGGGAAAUCUGACGGCUUAACCGUUAGGCUUUCGGGGGAUACUGCCAGGCUUGGAACCGGGAGAGGUAAGAGGUACUACAGGGGUAGGAGUGAAAUCUUGUAAUCCCUGUGAGACCACCUGUGGCGAAGGCGUCUUACCAGAACGGGUUCGACGGUGAGGGACGAAAGCUGGGGGCACGAACCGGAUUAGAUACCCGGGUAGUCCCAGCCGUAAACGAUGCUCGCUAGGUGUCAGGCAUGGCGCGACCGUGUCUGGUGCCGCAGGGAAGCCGUGAAGCGAGCCACCUGGGAAGUACGGCCGCAAGGCUGAAACUUAAAGGAAUUGGCGGGGGAGCACAAGGGCGAUUCGCG